rnacentral:rRNA from 1 species
GACGAACGCUGGCGGUGUGCUUAACACAUGCAAGUCGAACGGAAAGGCCCUGCUUUUGUGGGGUGCUCGAGUGGCGAACGGGUGAGUAACACGUGAGUAACCUGCCCUUGACUUUGGGAUAACUUCAGGAAACUGGGGCUAAUACCGGAUAGGAGCUCCUGCUGCAUGGUGGGGGUUGGAAAGUUUCGGCGGUUGGGGAUGGACUCGCGGCUUAUCAGCUUGUUGAUGGGGUAGUGGCUUACCAAGGCUUUGACGGGUAGCCGGCCUGAGAGGGUGACCGGCCACAUUGGGACUGAGAUACGGCCCAGACUCCUACGGGAGGCAGCAGUGGGGAAUAUUGCACAAUGGGCGGAAGCCUGAUGCAGCAACGCCGCGUGCGGGAUGACGGCCUUCGGGUUGUAAACCGCUUUCGCCUGUGACGAAGCGUGAGUGACGGUAAUGGGUAAAGAAGCACCGGCUAACUACGUG